rnacentral:rRNA from 1 species
CCUACGGGAGGCAGCAGUGGGGAAUUUUGGGCAAUGGGCGAAAGCCUGACCCAGCAACGCCGCGUGGAGGACGAAAUCCCUCCGGGAUGUAAACUCCGAAAGUCAGGGAAGAAAUCCCUCGGGCGAAUAGCUCGAGGGGAUGACGGUACCUGAUAUAAGCCCCGGCUAACUACGUGCCAGCAGCCGCGGUAAUACGUAGGGGGCAAGCGUUGUUCGGAAUUACUGGGCGUAAAGGGCGCGUAGGCGGCACGGCAAGUCGGGAGUGAAAGCCCGGGGCUCAACCCCGGAGGGUCUUCCGAGACUGCCGAGCUAGAGUGCGGAAGAGGCAACCGGAAUUCCCAGUGUAGCGGUGAAAUGCGUAGAUAUUGGGAAGAACACCAGAGGCGAAGGCGGGUUGCUGGGCCGACACUGACGCUGAGGCGCGAAAGCCAGGGGAGCAA